rnacentral:rRNA from 1 species
AUGGGCGGCGGCGCGGCGGACGAGGGCCAGACCAGCGAGGACCCUCGCGUAGAUCCGGGCAUCCUCGACCAACGGCGCCGUUCCUCUCCUCGUCUGCUGCCGUCGCGAGAUGGCUUCCAGGAAAUGGCCUCGCUGCCGAUCCCCGACGAGCUCGUGGCGGAGAUCUUCCUCCGGCUGCCCACGCCAGGCGACGUCAUCCGCACCUCUGGCGCCUGCGUCUCCUUCCGUCGCCUCGUCGCCGGCCGCCCCUUCCUCCGGCGCUUCCGCAAGCUCCACGACCCUCCCCUCCUCGGCUUCCUCGCUCUAACCGGAGCCUUCUUCCCCGUACUCCCGCCUUCUCCUUCCGCGUCGGCAGCCAGCGCCGUCGCCCUCGCCGCCGACUUCUCCUUCUCCUUCCUACCCGGCCCCGCUCGGGACUGGAAGGUCCGGGACGCCCGCGGCGGCCGCGUCCUCCUCAGCAGAUCUCCCUUGGAUAAUUCUCUGGCGGUGUGCGACCCCUUGCACCGGCGGUACCGCCUGCUUCCCCUGAUCCCUGAAGUUGAGGGGUGGGUUCCUCAUUCAGUGGAAAACCCAUACCGGCAGUCCUUCCUCGGCGACGCGGAGGAGACCGCAGAAGAGACAUCAUUCACAGUGAUCUCCAUCGCGCAUUGGGGGGAUAAAGAUAAGCAGGGCGCUUUCGUCUUCUCUUCCAGCACCGGACAAUGGCGAGGCACUCCAUGGAUUGCAGGCUUUGCUUCAUUCUUCUGGUACCGGCACGCAUAUGGCUGCUUCUACGGGGUGACAGCAUGCAGGGAGAAGUUGCUGGUGCUUGACACCCAGAAAAUGGAGUUCUCACUUGCUGACCUCCCACCCCAAGCUUCAGGACAAAAUGUGGGUAUAGCCAUUGUGGAGGCAGGGGAAGGCAUCACUGGGAUGUUUGUGCUUGCACAUGGCACAUCUCAUAUCAGUUAUCUAAUUAGGCGAAACAAUGGUGGCAGUUCCAGCCAGUGGCAGUUUGAGAGGACAAUUCCACUGGUCUCUUCUUGGUACAGUUUCAUGGGUUCAACAGAGAGGCACUUGCUUCUUGUAUCACAGGGAGACACUUUCACGUUGGACAUCAAAACAUUCCAACUUGAGAAGGUGGUCAGACGUGGCAUCAGUUCGCCAUGUGUAUAUAGAAACUUCCCACCAUCGUUGUUGUCGUCACCGACAAUAUCAAAUGGUGUUGACACCGAGGAUGAUGAGGUGCUGGAAAAACGCCGCGUUGCAAGCUCAAGCCCAUAUUCUCCAGGGUUUGAAUAG